AGACCCGAAACCCGGUGAUCUAGCCAUGGGCAGGUUGAAGGUUGGGUAACACUAACUGGAGGACCGAACCGACUAAUGUUGAAAAAUUAGCGGAUGACCUGUGGCUGGGGGUGAAAGGCCAAUCAAACCGGGAGAUAGCUGGUUCUCCCCGAAAGCUAUUUAGGUAGCGCCUCGUGAAUUCAUCUCCGGGGGUAGAGCACUGUUUCGGCUAGGGGGCCAUCCCGGCUUACCAACCCGAUGCAAACUGCGAAUACCGGAGAAUGUUAUCACGGGAGACACACGGCGGGUGCUAACGUCCGUCGUGAAGAGGGAAACAACCCAGACCGCCAGCUAAGGUCCCAAAGUCAUGGUUAAGUGGGAAACGAUGUGGGAAGGCCCAGACAGCCAGGAUGUUGGCUUAGAAGCAGCCAUCAUUUAAAGAAAGCGUAAUAGCUCACUGGUCGAGUCGGCCUGCGCGGAAGAUGUAACGGGGCUAAACCAUGCACCGAAGCUGCGGCAGCGACACUCAGGUGUUGUUGGGUAGGGGAGCGUUCUGUAAGCCUGCGAAGGUGGCCUGUGAGGGUUGCUGGAGGUAUCAGAAGUGCGAAUGCUGACAUAAGUAACGAUAAAGCGGGUGAAAAGCCCGCUCGCCGGAAGACCAAGGGUUCCUGUCCAACGUUAAUCGGGGCAGGGUGAGUCGACCCCUAAGGCGAGGCCGAAAGGCGUAGUCGAUGGGAAACGGGUUAAUAUUCCCGUACUUGGUGUUACUGCGAAGGGGGGACGGAGAAGGCUAUGUUGGCCGGGCGACGGUUGUCCCGGUUUAAGCGUGUAGGUGUGUGUUCCAGGUAAAUCCGGUUCACUUUAACACUGAGGCGUGAUGACGAGGCACUACGGUGCUGAAGCAACAAAUGCCCUGCUUCCAGGAAAAGCCUCUAAGCAUCAGGUAACAUCAAAUCGUACCCCAAACCGACACAGGUGGUCAGGUAGAGAAUACCAAGGCGCUUGAGAGAACUCGGGUGAAGGAACUAGGCAAAAUGGUGCCGUAACUUCGGGAGAAGGCACGCUGACACGUAGGUGAAGUGAUUUACUCAUGGAGCUGAAGUCAGUCGAAGAUACCAGCUGGCUGCAACUGUUUAUUAAAAACACAGCACUGUGCAAACACGAAAGUGGACGUAUACGGUGUGACGCCUGCCCGGUGCCGGAAGGUUAAUUGAUGGGGUCAGCGCAAGCGAAGCUCCUGAUCGAAGCCCCGGUAAACGGCGGCCGUAACUAUAACGGUCCUAAGGUAGCGAAAUUCCUUGUCGGGUAAGUUCCGACCUGCACGAAUGGCGUAAUGAUGGCCAGGCUGUCUCCACCCGAGACUCAGUGAAAUUGAACUCGCUGUGAAGAUGCAGUGUACCCGCGGCAAGACGGAAAGACCCCGUGAACCUUUACUAUAGCUUGACACUGAACAUUGAGCCUUGAUGUGUAGGAUAGGUGGGAGGCUUUGAAGUGUGGACGCCAGU
rnacentral:rRNA from 1 species